rnacentral:lncRNA from 13 species
GACUGCAGUCCUGCUUUGUCUCUUAUCUGGAAGGACAUCAGCUCUUAGAGCUAUCCUCUCUCCUCUAUCUCUGGCAGUGGUGCACAUAAUGGGCUUUUACCUUCUGAAUCCAGCUCACGCACACGCACACGCACACGCACACACACACACACACACACACACACACAUACUCAACUGCAAAUGUAUCAAUUUAUUAUCCUGCUGUUUCUGCCUCUGGAAAUAUGCUGUAAUAUGUAUGGUGUGAAGAGAGGCGCAACACCCACCCAGUUCAAUCUGUUGUUAGGGAUUAUCAGCGCCACAUUACCUUACAAUAGAAGUGGUAAAAUAGAGGAAUGAAAUGGAGGCAUGAUUUUCUCAAAACACAGGGAUUAAAUGCAGUUUUUCUUUCUUCAGAUGAGUAUUUAUGAUUUCAUUAGGCAGCAUUAUAGCCUACAUGGAUAUCUGAAUUAGAACAAGUAUUAAUCAUGACACAGUAAUAGUCCGAAAGUAAACAUUUUUGCAGCUUUGAAAAGGUUUACGUCAUCCUUUUGUGAGAAAUACCCUAACAUACCGGUCUGUGCCAUUGCCAUGCUAGGGCGGAUUCAGCAACGGUUGGCUUUAGGACCCAGCAGUGCAGCCGGUCAGGUAUGCACAGCUCAUGGACUAGAGCGAGGCAGACAAAGGCAAAAAGAGCUCGUGCCGCUUUCCUGCAGCAUCCACACCCACCCACUUCGCUCCAUACACUCCAGCGCGGACUCCCCAGAGCUCUCCACCUUCAGCACCCAUCUACCACGGACCCUCCCGGACCUCUGUUGCCAUGGAGCUGGACUUUGGCCAUUUCGACGAGCGAGACAAGCCCCGUAACCCGCGGGGCGGGCGCAUGAACGGGCUGCCCAGCCCCNNNNNNNNNNNNNNNNNNNNNNNNNNNNNNNNNNNNNNNNNNNNNNNNNNNNNNNNNNNCACAGUAAUGGGUGCUCUCUUCCCAUUCAGAGUGGCACAGUAAUGGGUGGUCUAUGCCCAUUCAGAGUGGCACAGCAAUGUGUGGUCUCUGCCCAUUCAGAGUGGCACAGUAAUGGGUGCUCUCUGCCCAUUCAGAGUGGCACAGUAAUGGGUGGUCUCUGCCCAUUCAGAGUGGCACAGUAAUGGGUGCUCUCUGCCCAUUCAGAGUGGCACAGUAAUGGGUGCUCUAUGCCCAUUCAGUGGCUGAUCUCCUCAUUAUUCAAACUGCCUAUUGCAAAGUUCCAGUCCAAACUGGGUAGCAGCAGACACUUCUCUGGCUAGCCAACCAGCCAGUCAGUCAGCCAGCCAGUCAGCCAGCCAGUCAGCCAGCCAGCCAGCCAGCCAGCUAGCUCCUCCCAUCAUGCAUUCUUUUCUUCUGUCUUUUUGCAGAGGGAAUAAAAAGGUCUGUUUGUGUUUAAAAAGAGCAGAUGUUAGUGAAGAGUUCUGGCACUGCUUGCUGUGCUCUCUACCCCUCGCAGCGUCUAACCGAAUGCUUUAUAUGCACUGCAGAUUGUAACAGAGAGUUGAGACCCUGAAAGAGACCUGCUCAUGCCUUUACACUAGUUAUCCUAUCUACCGAUAACCAAAAACAAAAACCUCCCUUAGUACUGUUCUCUCUUGCAGUUAUUUUUAGACCGGCUUCAGUUGCACAUUGGAUCACGCAACUUGUGGGUGUGUGACGCCUGUACCUUUACCCUGUGGUGUAGAGGAUGAGUAACCGUUGAAAAGUGUGAAUACGCCCUCGCACUUGGUGCUCAGCACCACAGAGAAGACUGGGACACCAUCUACUUUACAUCAGUGACUAACGCUCCAAACGUUCAGCUCAGCUCUCUUGUCCAAGAACCCUUAGCAUGACGGUGCGGAGGUGGUUGAUGAGAAUGCUACAGUAGCUACAUAUCCUCCCAGUCUGCCUGCUCAUAUCUCAGACUGGGAUGAUCCACCAAUCCGGGAUGCUCCCGGGCAUAUUUCUGCCAUAUCUGUCUUUAAAAAGACCCAUGAGAUGAAACACAUUUUUUUGUAAGAUAUGCGGCAAAAUCCCCCCCCCCAAAAAAGCACGCCGCAAAGCAUUAGCAUGACACCGUGGCUGUAUUGUUGUGAAUCACUUUUAGAUACCACGUCACUGACAGAUACGACUGCGCUGUUGGAGCUAGGAACACAGGCGUUUAGCUCUACGCCCGCGGGAAACAUCCGCUAAAUAUGUGUACGUGACCAAUCAAAUUUGACUGCCUUCGACGGCCGUAGUAAGGCAAAGUACAGAGACCAGAAUCACACUUAUGCACGUUUCCUGGAGCCCCGAGGAAAAGUUGUCUCGUUUCCUGUGAAAACAUCCUGGUCAGACCACGCACCGCAGCUCACUCCGAUGAGAGACCUUUUCACCAAAAUAUCACCCAUCCACUGGGGCUUCUUAAUAAGAUCCUCUUGCUAGCCACGCUUCCGUUCCCAUCUCCCAAGGGCCCGGGCUGAAUGUAGGCCAGGACACUGGCAGCCUUGUCUGGCAGCUCUAGCUCUACAUAAGACGUGUACAACUGAUGUAGAUGUUUAGUCCAUAAUGAUAUGUAUGUUCAGAAGCUAAUGGCCUUAGUUUUAGGGUCACUAAAGGGUUGUCAGGGCAUGUGCUACUGAGUAUUACUGCAGAGUGAUUCUGUUCACUGGACAUGAAAUAUUGAUGCCCUGUUCAACUCGGAAACUUCCCAAAUGAGGCUUGUGUCUCUGUCUCAGCUCCAUGGCAGAACGUUCUCCAGUUGCUUCACACACACAUGCGCGCGCGCACGCACACACACACGUACACGAG